CCUACGGUGGGCAGCAGUGGGGAAUAUUGGACAAUGGGCGAAAGCCUGAUCCAGCCAUGCCGCGUGUGUGAAGAAGGCCUUCGGGUUGUAAAGCACUUUCAGUGGGGAAGAAAGCCUUGGGGCUAAUACCCUCGAGGAAGGACAUCACCCACAGAAGAAGCACCGGCUAACUCCGUGCCAGCAGCCGCGGUAAUACGGAGGGUGCGAGCGUUAAUCGGAAUUACUGGGCGUAAAGCGCGCGUAGGCGGUCUGAUAAGCCGGUUGUGAAAGCCCCGGGCUCAACCUGGGAACGGCAUCCGGAACUGUCAGGCUAGAGUGCAGGAGAGGAAGGUAGAACUCCCGGUGUAGCGGUGAAAUGCGUAGAGAUCGGGAGGAAUACCAGUGGCGAAGGCGGCCUUCUGGACUGACACUGACGCUGAGGUGCGAAAGCGUGGGUAGCAAACAGGAUUAGAUACCCCGGUAGUC
rnacentral:rRNA from 1 species